CUGGCUUUCUACUUCCCUUCUCCGUUCAGAUUUAAAACACAAAGAAAAGAAUGAAGGUUUAGGUGAAAAAAAGCCAAGAUGACAGAUGUAGAGGCUCAACUUAAAAGAGAAGCAGAGUAGCUCCAAAGGAAGAUGAAGCUGCAUCUCCAAUUUUUGGCGGCUAACUAAAGCAUUUGACUGAAGUCUAUAGUGACUUACUGUGCUAUUUAAUUGUUGUCUUUUAGCUUCUCUCUAGCAAAGCAAGUUCCUACAUAAGCUGAUACAAAAGACAGCAGCAAGGGUUUUUCCAGGGAGGUUGAAGCUGCACUAACAGAAGAGUGUAACUCGGAGAAGUAAAUGAAGUCCUCGAGAAGAGGUUACUUGAAGCAAGAGGCCAAUCAUCAAUGCAUAUUCAAUAUUAUAUUUUUUCUUUAGCUUUUAGAUGUGUAUGAAUGUGCUUUUUUCUAGUAGAUGUAAUGACAUUGUCUUAUAAAUACGCUACUUAAUAUGUGUCAAUAGCUUUGUUACUGUAUAUUUUGAUUAGAAUACAGCCACCUUUAAGGAAA